rnacentral:rRNA from 1 species
GACGAACGCUGGCGGCGUGCUUAACACAUGCAAGUCGAACGGAAAGGCCCUGCUUUUGUGGGGUGCUCGAGUGGCGAACGGGUGAGUAACACGUGAGUAACCUGCCCUUGACUUUGGGAUAACUUCAGGAAACUGGGGCUAAUACCGGAUAGGAGCUCCUGCUGCAUGGUGGGGGUUGGAAAGUUUCGGCGGUUGGGGAUGGACUCGCGGCUUAUCAGCUUGUUGGUGGGGUAGUGGCUUACCAAGGCUUUGACGGGUAGCCGGCCUGAGAGGGUGACCGGCCACAGUGGGACUGAGAUAAGGCCCAGACUCCGACGGGAGGAAGCGGUGGGGAAUAUGGCAAAAGGGGCGGAAGCCGGAUGCAGCAACGCCGCGUGGGGGAGGACGGCCUUCGGUUUGUAAACCGCUUUCGCCUGUGACGAAGGGGGAGUGACGGUAAUGGGUAAAGAAACACCGGCUAACUACGGG